rnacentral:rRNA from 1 species
UACAGAGGGUGCGAGCGUUAAUCGGAAUUACUGGGCGUAAAGCGUGCGUAGACGGUUCUGUAAGUCGGGUGUGAAAUCCCCGGGCUCAACCUGGGAAUUGCAUUCGAGACUGCAGAGCUAGGGUGCGAAAGAGGGAAGCGGAAUUUCCGGUGUAGCGGUGAAAUGCGUAGAUAUCGGAAGGAACAUCAGUGGCGAAAGCGGCUUCCUGGUCCAGCACCGACGUUCAGGCACGAAAGCGUGGGGAGCAAACAGG